UACGAAGGUCCCGAGCGUUGUUCGGAAUCACUGGGCGUAAAGGGUGCGUAGGCGGCUUGGUAAGUUGGGUGUGAAAGCCCCGGGCUCAGCCCGGGAAGGGCACUCGAAACUGCCGAGCUGGAGUGCCGGAGGGGAGAGUGGAAUUCCUGGUGUAGCGGUGAAAUGCGUAGAUAUCAGGAGGAAUACCGGUGGCGAAAGCGACUCUCUGGACGGCAACUGACGCUGAGGCACGAAAGCGUGGGGAGCGAACAGG
rnacentral:rRNA from 1 species